ensembl:lncRNA
CAUCAGUAGUACCAGCAGUAUUAGUAUUAUAAGUGAUAGUAGUAGUAUAAGUAGCAGUAGUAGUAUAAGUGGUAUAAGUAAUAGUGAUAUAAGUGGUAAUGAUAGAAGUGGUAGUGAAAAUAGUAACAGUAGUAUAAGUGGUAUAAGUGAUAGAAGUGGUAGAAGUGAUAGAAGUGGUAGAAGUGAUAGAANNNNNNNNNNUGGUAGAAGUGAUAGAAGUGGUAGUAAGAGUGGAACGAAUGACAGCACGUGCAGUAGAAACGAACACACUUGCUAUGAUAAACUUGAUCGAAUCCAGUUUAAACGAACAAACAAAAAAAUAUUAAAAAUAUUAACAUACUUUAUUAAUAUAAUAUAUAUAAAUAUCUUUCAAAAAGUUUUGAACAAAAUACAAACGUGUAAAAGUAUAAUAAAAUUAAAAUUAUAUUUGUAUAUAAAAAAUCUAUUUGAUAGUAAUAUAUUUCAUUGCUUAAGGACUAGAUUAAAAAAAAAAUGUUUUGACAUGUUUUGUUCGUUUACUUUAAAAAAUUUAAUUCAAAAUUAUUUAUAUAAAAUAAAGAAAGAAAAAGUAAGUAGUGUUAUUCCUAACAUUGUAAUACCUAAUACAGACAAAAAUUACAAUAAACGUAACGGCAUUAGUAGUAGUAUUAAUGGUAUUAUUAAUGGUAGUAUUAGUGGUAGUAUUAGUAGUAGUAGUAGUAGUAGCACUGAGUUAGAACUCUUUCAAUCAGUACUAAUAUACGAUACUUGUUGUUUUAUUGAAAUAUAUAAUAAAUUAAAAAAAAACAAAUUUAAAGAUAUAUAUAAAUACAAAUAUGUUAAUUAUCUAGUCGAUAUAAAAAACAUACUUACCUUACCACAAGAAAAAUUAUUAAAAUACCCAAUUAAAAAUAAAUAUUUUUUUUUUUACAUAAAAAGUAAAAGGGUAGAUAUAGAUUUUCGUAAAUUUAUAAUCCAAUAUGAGUCGAAUGUUCAAAACUGGCGUAAGUACAAGAACAAACACAAACCAGAACAUAUACCAAAAUAUAUACCAAAAUAUAUACCAAAAUAUAUAUCAGAAUAUAUAGACAAAAACAAAAAUAAACAAAAAGAGUAUGACCUCUUUGUUGAUCAAGUUAUAAAAAAUAGCUAUGAUAUACUUGUUUUUAAAAAUUAUAAAGAUUUAUACAAACAACAUUCCCAACCAUUUAAUAAUAUAAACCAUUCCAAAACUGACAUUACUUCUGUUACUAACAUUACUGCUGUUACUGACAUUACUACCGCCGAUAGCACCACCCCUACAACUACAAUUCCUACAAUAGAUACUACAGUAAAAACAAACUACUUACGACAAACGUUUUAUAACUUAUUACAUUCUUUUAAUCAAAAUAUUAUUAAUUUAUUUAUUCAAAAAAAUGAAAAAAAAGAAUAUAAUGCUAUUAAAUUAAUUUACAGUAAGAAAAAUGCUCAUGGUAGGGACAUAUAUAACAUCACUAAUUCGAACAAAUUUGUUAAUCCUAUAAUUAAAGGAAAAAAUAAAAAUUGGGGAAAUGUUGAUGUAAUAUGUGACGAUAGAACUAGCUUAUCCAGUAUGGUUAACUCAAAUGUGUGCGAAAAUAAUAAUUUAUCCAAAUGUGAACAAAAUGUUUACCUUACAAGCAAUAUAAAAAAAAAAAAUAAUCAAAAAAAAAAAAAAAAAAAACGUAAGGAAUAUCAAAAUAUAUACGAAGUAAGUAGUUUAUCAAGUAGUAACGAUAUACAACAAAAUAAAUAUGAACAACAAGAAAAUUUUAAAUUAUUUGAAUUGAGUGAUGACGAAAAAGAGUGCUGUAUAAAAGUAUAUAUAAACAGUAGUAGUACUAAUACCAACAACAAUAAUAAUGACAACUAUAAUAGCAAAAAAUAUAAUAACGAAAGAUAUAAUAACGAAAAAUAUAAUGACGAAAGAUAUAAUAACGAAAGAUAUAAUAACGAAAGGUAUAAUAACGAAAGGUAUAAUAACAGUAGUAGUGAUAAUAAUAAAAAUAAUAAAUAUAGUCAAGUUUCAAACAAUGCCCAUUUCGAUAGAAGAAUAUUAGUUUUAAAAAAUAAUAAAAUUUAUUUCUAUGUUAAUGAAUAUUCUAUA